GUUAUUGGUAGUAGGGCUUUCCUCCAUGCGUGGCUUAUCUAUUUACCUUUUUCUUCAAAAGGAGGAGUGCAAAUAAAAGUAGUUCCUUUGCCCUUUCUCUUUCGCUAUAAAGCUUCAGAAAAAAAAGAAAAAAAAGAAGUUUUUGAUUGGUUUGUGCUCGUACUUGCCGCUGCUAGAUACCUACUUAUCUAAAUCAAACAAGGCUUGGAGGGGAUGAAUAUGAACCCUCUUUUCCCCUUCCAAGAUGGCUCCACAGUACUUUGGAUAUUGCCUUUGUAGGCCACCAUUUUUCUUUUCUGUCAUAAAUUUCUUUAUACAGUAUUCUGAUAUUGACCCACUUCUUUCUUUCUUCUUUGCACAACAAUGUAUACAUGAAAGUGUCAAAUCUAUAACUACAAAUUUUAUGUUAGUUACACUCUUUUUGAUCUUAUAUU